UUCAUUUUCUUUAUCCUUAAUGUAGUCUUACCAUUUGUGUGGCUUUCGCCAUAACACGUCAGUUCUUGCUAUAUAAACUCAGGAUGUUGAAUUAAUGACAUAAUUUAUCUCUGACUGCAUUCUGAUAUUGGUGGACUAAAAUUUUUUUUGGCGCUACUGAACAAAAUUCAGAGAUCUGAUCUUGUAAUAUUUAAUGUACAUAAUCGAUAUUAUAAUGACCAGUAAUAUUCAAUAUAUCAGCCACCUCUAGAAAUAAUGCUGUUUUUUCUGUUUCAUUUUGCAUUUGAAGAGCUAGAUGUUCCAUUACUGCUUUUGUUGUAAUAUGUUUCUACUUAUCUGGAGUUAUUCAUUUUUGCAGGAUCAGUACAGUUUUGUUUCUGGAGAUACAAUGUGGAGACACAGACCAGUACUGAAGAGGUAACAAACCAAAGGAUGAGGACAGUAGCUUUUGUGUGCCAGCCGUGGUACAUACCGGAACAUCCUUCGUGAAGAUGUGUGAGAGAAGCUUGCAAGGCAAGAUGAAAUUAUUUUUUUCAUAUAAGAAAAUAAUAUAUAUUUUUGAAUGGUAGAGUUAUGUUUUAUUCCCUGUGAAGUAGAAAUAAUGAAUGUUUGUAAAAAUGUAAUCUAUUUUUUAAGCCUAGUGAAGAUGGUGUGAUCAGGAAUUCUGCUGUUUAUGGGAAAUCUGAAGGAACAUUUCCCAGCAUUCUACCACCAUGUUGCCCUGAUAAUGUUAAUUCGGCUCUUAGGAAUUUUUUGGACUUUCCUGCCUCUUUGGAACAUUUUUUCAUUUUUUUCACAGACUGUGGAGAGAUGGUGUGCAGCUUCAUGACGUGAAGUUUACUUCCGAUGAAGAGCUUUGGGGACAUUGACAGAUAACACGUCCCAGCAAGUUCAUUUGGAGUUCUGUUUUUAAUUUUUUAUUUAGUCAAACUUGCAUUCACUAAUGCUGGGGUAUGAUUUUAGAAGAAAACCUUUAGUCCUGUUUAAUGUUGGAGCUAAUAAAGAUUUGAGAACUAAUGGCCUGGAUUCACAGACAGGGCUUAGACUAAGCCUGGAUCAUAGUUCAAUAAGGACAUCUAGGUAAUUUUUCCUUGACAUGCCUUAGAAAAAAUAAGGCA